rnacentral:rRNA from 1 species
AAAUUGAAGAGUUUGAUCAUGGCUCAGAUUGAACGCUGGCGGCAGGCCUAACACAUGCAAGUCGAACGGUAACAGGAAGCAGCUUGCUGCUUCGCUGACGAGUGGCGGACGGGUGAGUAAUGUCUGGGAAACUGCCUGGUGGAGGGGGAUAACUACUGGAAACGGUAGCUAAUACCGCAUAACGUCGCAAGACCAAAGAGGGGGACCUUCGGGCCUCUUGCCAUCGGAUGUGCCCAGAUGGGAUUAGCUAGUAGGUGGGGUAACGGCUCACCUAGGCGACGAUCCCUAGCUGGUCUGAGAGGAUGACCAGCCACACUGGAACUGAGACACGGUCCAGACUCCUACGGGAGGCAGCAGUGGGGAAUAUUGCACAAUGGGCGCAAGCCUGAUGCAGCCAUGCCGCGUGUAUGAAGAAGGCCUUCGGGUUGUAAAGUACUUUCAGCGGGGAGGAAGGGAGUAAAGU